ensembl:lncRNA
AUUGCAAAUGCUGUCUUUUCAUGCUAUUAAAUCUCAUACUACUCUCCCCAAGCUGCUUACCUAGCAUGCCACAACCUUCUCUUUGAAGUACUUUUUAAGUUCUGAGACAGAAGAGAGAGCUUUGUGCUCAGUCGUGUCCAACUCUUUGCCUGGACUGUAGCCAGCUAGGCUCUUCUGUACAUGGGAUUCUCUAGGCAAGAAUACUGGUGUGGGUUGCCAUCUCCUUCUCCAAGGGAUCUUCCCNNNNNNNNNNNNNNNNNNNNNNNNNNNNNNNNNNNNNNNNNNNNNNNNNNNNNNNNNNNNNNNNNNNNNNNNNNNNNNNNNNNNNNNNNNNNNNNNNNNACCCAGGGAUCAAACCUUGGUCUCCAUUCUUUACCAGCUGAGCCACCAGGGAACCCUAAGUCCUGAGAAAGAGACCCUAAGAAGGGCAGGAGGAACCCCUGAUGCUUAAUUAGGUGAAAGACACUGGAAUCCUAUUGCGACCAGGGUCCUCCCUAGUCAGCAGAGGAAAGUCUGAUCAUGUGGUUUGUCCUUCCCGAACAAAUUUCUUUGUAGCCCAUGAUUUACACCACCUCCAUACAGUAAUCUCUGCCUUGUUUAUUUGCAGAGAGCUGGUGGAGAUGGAGCUGCAAUGCGUGUCCAUGGAGCAGAUUAAACACUAUCUGCCCCAACCUGCCUGAGACUGUCCUCUCCCUGGUUGGCAGUACUUGAAUGGGGGAAAAAAAUAAAAAGCAAUCCUCCUGAGCUCCCAGCAAGCAGAAGUCCCAAGAGUCAUGACCAGGAUCUCGUCGCAAAGUGGAAUUCCUCUCUAAAAAGAAAUGUAUGGCUGACCGGACUUCAUCAAUUUAGAUAUGUCUGCCCCUGGUCUGAAAUGGAAGAAUGGUGUGCUGGAAUCUCCCCUCAGGACGGCUGGACUUCUGCAAAUUCCCUCUCAUGCACGAGUAUCUGCCCAGGUCAGCACUCUCCAGGUGUUUUCGUUUUGUCUUUUUUCCCAAUCACAGCAAGAGGGGAUUUGGACAGGUUCACUGGCUCCCCUGGUUUUGCUGUCUAUACUGAAAUCUGUCUGCCUGGGUACAUACAGGUACACCUAUAUACUGGGUGUACUGGUAGGUGGGCCUCCUGGAUCCUGCAACUCCCACAAAGGUGCCUUUGUUUGUGGAUGGAUCUCUAUUUUGUUGUUUUAAAAAGCGGAUAAAAAAGAGGAAUGUUUUAUGCUGCCAUGAUGCUGACAUCACUCCCCUGACCCUGAUAUAAUAAUGUUCAUUCUUUAUAUUUCAUAAGUAGACAAGUAUUGUGUAAACAAAUGAUAUGAUAAGAAGUGUGAAAGCUCUGAGAGUUGCUACCUUCUGGGUACAAAAUGCGAUUGCUCUCUGGUUCUUUGUGGCUGGGCAGGGGCUGAAGCAUGUAUAAAUUACAGACAGCGGGGCAGAGCUUGGACUUUAUUACAAGGCAGCCACUGGUGGGUUUAGGAGGAUGAUAAGAUAUACAUCACAUUUUACAGGCGGGUAACUCUGGUUGUGUAUGGAGGAUGCACUGUUGAGUGCAAGUGUGGAACCACAGAGCCCAGUUACAGAAGUAGUAACGGUGAGAUGAUGGGGACUUGAACGUCACCGAUUGCAGGCAAAACAGAAGCAGAAGUUUUUGGAAUGCAGUUUGCAGGUGUACCUGAUGUGACUUACCGAAAAGUGGGAAAUAAGAGUUGAGGCAAAGGGGUGGAUUGUAGAUGAUCGCCGUUUUGGGUUGAACAAGUGGAUAUAUGAUAGGGCCAUGUACUGAAAUGGAAGCAAAUGAAGGAUUAACAGGCAUGAAGAGAGGGAACGGAGCCUAUUUUUCUCUGUAUUAGCUUUAGACAGCUGUGUGCACAUGUUAAGCGACUAGAGAUUCAAUCUCAUCUCUCAAAGGAACACCUGAGCCAAAGAUGUAUAUAUUUGGAAGUCACUAGUAUACAAAUAUAUUUAACUCAAAGGACUAAAUUAGAUCAUCCAGAGAGAAUAUACAUAGGAUAAAAAAUGUACAGAUAGGAGAAAAACCUGGCCUGUAUGUGGUCACAGAAGCCAAAAGAAGACAGCGUGUUUUGAAUGUUGUUGAGAAAUUGAAUGAGACAUGAAGCGAUUAUAGUAGUUGAAAAACGGAGCCGAUUGGCAGCUUUGGCAAGGGAAGUUUCAACAGAGUUCUGUGUGAUGGGGGUGGGGGCAGGGGAGGCAGUCUGAGAGGGCUGAGGAGAAAAUGGGAGAAAAUGACAGAAGAGCAUGAAGGGAAUUUUGGUAAGUUUCCCUCUGAAGGGGAGCCACAGUGGGCUUGGCGGAGACACGUGGUCAAGGCCAAUUUUCUUUCCUUUAGGAUGAGGGGUACUAGAGUGCGCUUGUUUGCUGCUGGUGAGUCAGCAGUGGGGAAGGAACUAAAGAUGCAGGAGGCUAAAAAGUUAAUUCUCCAGGGAGGAGAGGGGUCUGAUGGAGGGCACAGUAUGGGGGGCUGUCCCUUCACUCUUCCAUCCAAGGAUGGAAAAGGCAGGUGGAUGACUGUGUAAUGAUGAAACUAUGAGACCGUGCUCUUUGACUGUGGCUCUUUUCACUGACUUAUAACAAAAUAAGUGGAAUAUUUGACGGAUCCAAGGUAAAGACCCCACUGCAUAUCAAAAAGAUUCCCAUGAAGCAAUGAAUUAAUGAAAAGCAUUCAACACCUAUACAUUUCUUGGUUAAUCUUAAGAUUUAAAGGUAAAGAAUAAAUCCUAUGACUCCAUGGAUUAUACAGUCCAUGGAAUUCUCCAGGCCAGAAUACUGGANNNNNNNNNNNNNNNNNNNNNNCAGGGGAUCUUCCCAACCCAGGGAUCGAACCCAGGCCUCCCACAUUGCAGCAUGUAAGUGGAAAAUACAAUUAUAAACAAAGCCAAAAGGCAAGCUGCACUUCUGAUUCAAUCACGAUGGAAUAGUUAAUAUCAGAUGAAUUCUCCUACUAUAAGCAACUAUAAGGAUGCACAGAUUUAAGAACUGUUUAUGAUAUUUGGAGAACAU